AGAAAGUGAAGAGAGAGAGAAAGAUUCUACCAUUGAGAGCUUUGUGACCAAUUUUUCAAAUAUCUUUGAGUCAGGUAGGAUUAAUAUAUUCGUGUGUGUGUGUGUGUGUGUGUGUGUGUGUGUGUGUGUGUGUAGGGGAGAGAGGUGGAAAUUUAAGAUCUACAUGUACAGUUUCUGAAUCACCCCAUUGUGAAUCCUUCAAGACCUGCUUCUC